rnacentral:rRNA from 1 species
AUUGAACGCUGGCGGCAGGCUUAACACAUGCAAGUCGAACGCCCUUCUUCGGAAGGGAGUGGCAGACGGGUGAGUAACGCGUGGGAACCUACCUAAUAGUACGGAAUAACUCAGAGAAAUCUGUGCUAAUACCGUAUACGCCCUUCGGGGGAAAGAUUUAUCGCUAUUAGAUGGGCCCGCGUUGGAUUAGCUAGUUGGUGGGGUAAUGGCCUACCAAGGCGACGAUCCAUAGCUGGUCUGAGAGGAUGAUCAGCCACACUGGGACUGAGACACGGCCCAG